rnacentral:lncRNA from 1 species
AAAAGCCGAGAGAGAAGAAGAGAGCAUGGGAGAGAAGAACCGUGAGAGAGAAGGGGAGAAGAGAGGGCGGCUGCCCUUGAGGAAGAAGAAGAUGGAGAAGAAAAUCACCAUGGAAGAAAGAAGAAAGAAGAAGCAAAGGUAUAACUUUUCUCUCUCUAAUCUCUUUCUAUGGAAUUUUUAUGAAAUGGAUUUUUGAUUUGGGUGUAUAAAACCCUAAGAUAUAUGUGUUUUUAUUUGAUUCUAGUAUGGAUCCACCCAUGAUGGGUGUUGAUUUGGUUGGAAACCAAAAGGAAAAGAAAAAUAAAUUUUCUAGUUUUGAAAAUCGAAAUUUCUAUAUACUUUGAAUGUUUACCGUUUUAAAUCUAUAAUUUUUUUUUCUGAUCCGUCAAAAAGUAGUGCUAGAUGUAUGUGUUGGCUAGUAAACCCAAGUGGUAAAACUCAAAAAUCACGUUUCUAAAAGUCGUGGUGUUGAUUUAUGUGAAAACAGUCCCGGUUUUAGGGACAGUUUCGGAUCAGUCAAUGGCAGGGGCAAUUUCGUCCAGUUUUUUUUGUGCUUUACAACUUUUGGGCUUUUGAUAUGUUGUAGUACACUUAUUAAGCUUUCCAUAGACUCCAGAACGGACUAAUUCCGACUCCGGAUGAGGUAGUUAUGAUGUUCGGAAGGAGCGUAAUAAAACUGUCCAACCAAUCCCGAACAGCCUCCUUUGUUUAAAUUUUUGGACUGACAUGUUCGGAUUUUGGAAAAACAUCGUGAGACAAAAGUUGUAGCCCUAGAAGUUAUCUUCACGUGGGCUCAAGAAUCGCUCAAAAAUAUUUUGAAACGAAGAAGUUAUGACUGUUUUAGCGCAAUAGGGUCAAGCUAGAAAACUAUUAAAAACUGUUAUGACAGAGCAUUUUUGGAGCUUUGUUUGGACUGUUUAAAGUUUCUGAAAUGGGUGGGUAUACAACCUAUAUAAUAUUCAAACUUUCAACAUAAACGAAUCAAAGUUACGAGGAAUGAGAAGCUAUCAAAACAAGAGCUAAGAAGUAGGGGCUGCUACCUGCUAUAGAAGUGUUUGGUGAGCCAUUUUUGGCGUUGUGAUGCAUUUUGAUUAUUUACCCAUAAAUUUUGGGUUAUUAUUUCUAAAUAAAUGAGUGUAUAAGAUCUAUAACAUAGUUACAAUGUAAUAUAAUUGAAUCUACAAGCUAAAAGCUAAGCUUGGGGCUGUUGAGCCAAGUUUGGGUUGCUAUUAUUUUAUGGGGCUGUUUAGUAUUGCUUGGAAACAUGAUGGGUUAAAAAAAAAUAAAAAAAAUAAUAAAAAAAUUGAUUGUGUGGUCAAUGGGAAUAUUUAAAAUAUAACUGUACAAGUUAUAUGGCAUGUUUGUGUGGUUAAUAUGUUCAUAUAUAGUGAAAAUACAACUAUUUGCAAAAAAGAAAAGUAAAGCGAAAGUGUUAGCGGGAUAAAAUACAAUAAUUCGAGUUGACUCAUGAACAGGUAAAAUAAUUAUAUAAAAAUUAUUUAUAUUAAAGGAAUAAUAUAGUAAAUUGAAUUUUACUAUAAAAGCUAUUUAUUAGCUGUUUAAGUCCUGAAUUAAUGAGUAAAGACAUAAGAUAUUCCUAAAGCGGAAUAUAAGUGAUUGAAUCUUCAAAGUGUAAAAUAUUUAUAUACUCAAAUGUGAGGGACCUUUAUUUGGUUUAGAAAGGUUAAAAUGAAUUAAGUUUCUAAUAAACUAAUAUUCAUUUUGAGUAAGAAUAAGUAAUAUUAGUUUGUAUAAAACUAAUAAUUGUUAUUGAUGAAUAUACAUGCAUGUUUUGUAACAUAUUCGAUUAUCUAAUAUGUGUGUGCAUGUAAAUAUAAUUCUGUAGGAAUUGUGGAGAAACUCUAAGUUAAAUUUUGUGGUAAUCUCCAAUCAAGGCAAGUUUUUCGGUUCUAUGAUGCUUGUGGAUUAAAUGUGAUUAUGUGGUGAGUUACAUACCAUACUUUAUGAAUUGUUAAAAUCAAAAUAUGACUAAGUUAAUUGGGUUAUGGAACUCAAUUUAUAUGUGAUAUGUGAUAACACGUGUUGUAUAAUGUAACUCGAUAAAUUAGAAAUGUAUAAUGCAUGAAUGUAUGCUUUGUAAGGAAUUAUUGUUGCAUGUAGGAUAUGCAUAGUAAAGAAUACAUGUUGCAGGCAGAUAUGCAUAAUAAAGGAAAUAUAGUGCAUAUGAAAUUGUGUGCUAUGUGAAACAUGAUAGACUGUUAAAUUUGCUGGGCUGUCGAGCUCAAUCUUGCAAACACAAACUUUUUGCAGGUUAAUGAUGUUAGGCAAUAUUACUUGCUAUACGGAUGAUGAAGAUUGAACGAUGUGCAAAAGUGAAUACAUUUCCUUGAAUUAGAAAUGGUAUAAAUCUAUGAUUGAUAGUUUUGUCAAAUAUAAUUGGCAGCUAUGUACGGU